UACGGAGGGUGCAAACGUUGCUCGGAAUCAUUGGGCGUAAAGCGAACGUAGGCGGCUAUGUAAGUCGGGUGUGAAAGCCCUCGGCUCAACCGAGGAAGUGCAUUCGAAACUGCAUGGCUUGAGUAUCGGAGAGGAUAGCGGAAUUCCCGGUGUAGAGGUGAAAUGCGUAGAGAUCGGGAGGAACACCAGUGGCGAAGGCGGCUACCUGGACCAGCACUGACACUGAGGCACGAAAGCGUGGGGAGCAAACAGG
rnacentral:rRNA from 1 species